rnacentral:tRNA from 1 species
UCUCCUUUAGCUCAGUGAUAGAGCAUCCUUCCGGUGUGCGAAAGGUCAUAGGUUCGACUCCUAUUGGGAGAA